ensembl:snRNA U6 U6 spliceosomal RNA
GUGCUCCCUUCAGUAGCACACAUACUAAAAUUGGAACGAUAUAGAUAUAGAGAUUAGCUUGGCCCCUGCACAAGGAUGACAUGCAAAUCAGUGAAGCGUUCCAUAUUUUU